rnacentral:rRNA from 1 species
AUUGAACGCUGGCGGCAUGCCUUACACAUGCAAGUCGAACGGCAGCACGGGAGCAAUCCUGGUGGCGAGUGGCGAACGGGUGAGUAAUAUAUCGGAACGUGCCCAGUCGUGGGGGAUAACGUAGCGAAAGCUACGCUAAUACCGCAUACGAUCUAUGGAUGAAAGCGGGGGAUCGCAAGACCUCGCGCGCUUGGAGCGGCCGAUAUCAGAUUAGGUAGUUGGUGAGGUAAAGGCUCACCAAGCCGACGAUCUGUAGCUGGUCUGAGAGGACGACCAGCCACACUGGGACUGAGACACGGCCCAGAUUCCUACGGGAGGCAGCAGUGGGGAAUUUUGGACAAUGGGCGCAAGCCUGAUCCAGCAAUGCCGCGUGCAGGAUGAAGGCCUUCGGGUUGUAAACUGCUUUUGUACGGAACGAAACGGUGAGCUCUAAUACAGUUUGCUAAUGACGGUACCGUAAGAAUAAGCACCGGCUAACUACGUGCCAGCCGCCGCGGUAA